UACGGGGGGGGCAAGCGUUGUUCGGAAUUACUGGGCGUAAAGGGCUCGUAGGUGGCCAACUAAGUCAGACGUGAAAUCCCUCAGCUUAACUGGGGAACUGCGUCUGAUACUGGAUGGCUUGAAUUCGGGAGAGGGAUGCAGAAUUCCUGGUGUAGCGGUGAAAUGCGCAGAUAUCAGGAGGAACACCGGUGGCGAAGGCGGGUCUCUGGGCCGAUACUGACGCUGAGGAGCGAAAGCGUGGGGAGCGAACAGG
rnacentral:rRNA from 1 species